rnacentral:rRNA from 1 species
CCCUUAGAUGUUCUGGGCCGCACGCGCGCUACACUGACGAUGGCAACGAGUUUUUCCUUCGCCGAAAGGUGUGGGUAAUCUUUUGAAACAUCGUCGUGCUGGGGAUAGAUCAUUGCAAUUUUUGAUCUUGAACGAGGAAUUCCUAGUAAGCGCGAGUCAUCAGCUCGCGUUGAUUACGUCCCUGCCCUUUGUACACACCGCCCGUCGCUACUACCGAUUGAGUGGUCCGGUGAGGCUUUGGGAUCUGAGCGGAAAGAGCGUUUCGCUGUUUCUGCUCGGAAAACUCAGUCGAACCUUAUCAUUUAGAGGAAGGAGAAGUCGUAACA